CAAAAUAAAUGAUAACGCAGGGAUAGCCAUGGCCUGAACACCACAUCCGCUGGGGAUUAUCAUCUCUUUUCUUGUGCUUUUCUUGAACCCCGAAAAAUUUUCUUCUUUUUUAUUUCAUUUUCUUGAACCCCAAAAUCUUUUUUUUGCGCAAAUGGUCCCCGAUCACUGCAUUUGAACCCCAUUCUCCUGUUUCCUUGUGAUAAUUCUGAUGGCAACGUCGGAAAUAACACUAAUCACCACUCUGAGGGCGACAUAUCAGAG
rnacentral:lncRNA from 1 species